rnacentral:rRNA from 1 species
UUGGCAUCUUAGUGGCGGGCGGGUGAGUAACGCGUGGGUAACCUGCCUUACACUGGGGGAUAACACUUAGAAAUAGGUGCUAAUACCGCAUAACAGAGGGAGUCGCAUGACUUCGUCUUAAAAACUCCGGUGGUGUAAGAUGGACCCGCGUCUGAUUAGCUUGUUGGCGGGGUAACGGCCCACCAAGGCGACGAUCAGUAGCCGGCCUGAGAGGGUGGACGGCCACAUUGGGACUGAGACACGGCCCAAACUCCUACGGGAGGCAGCAG